rnacentral:rRNA from 1 species
UACGUAGGGGGCGAGCGUUGUCCGGAUUUACUGGGCGUAAAGAGCGCGCAGGCGGCUGGUCAAGUCCGAUGUGAAAUCUCCCGGCUCAACUGGGAAACUGCAUCGGAAACUGAUCGGCUUGAAGAUGGGAGAGGGUAGUGGAAUUCCCGGUGUAGUGGUGAAAUGCGUAGAUAUCGGGAGGAACACCAGUGGCGAAGGCGCCUACCUGGCCCAUUCUUGACGCUGAGGCGCGAAAGCUAGGGGAGCGAACGGG